ensembl:lncRNA
GUUUAGGAUUGCCCAGGUAGAGCUUCAGCUGGAUCACGAAAUAGGAAACUAGGGCUGCAUUCCCAGCUGGUUGGAGUCCAUCCAGACUUGUGGAGUCCAGGGGGGCUGUGCUCUGCUCUGAAGGGGGCUGAAACUCUGCUCUGGCUGAAGUGGGGUACGGUGGCAUUGUGAAAAGAGCUAUCAGUGAAAUUCCUGGGCACAGAACAUUCUCCCAAAGGAAGAACAACCUCUGGCCUAUUGGCCUCCAGCCCAUUAUCUGAUUGUUCAAGUGGAGCAAGACGUUAACAUGAGCAUUGCACAAUUUGAUAGGAUAAGCAUUUGAAAGCCACGGUGGAUGCGGUGGGUUUUGUACUCAAUUGCAAAACUUUAUUUUGUACCUGUAACAAAUGAAAAAAAGAGGUCAUAUCUGCCAUCUUCUUUCACUGGACAGACCAGGAAACAGCCAUCUCCUGCAGGCAUUUGGCUGUGUCACCAUAUAUAAACACAAAGGAGACUUUGUGAGCUUUUCCCAAAGUGUCUCAAGCGGGCUGUGAGGUCCAAGAAACUCCUCCUGGAGCUUUUUACUGCUUUGGAUUUCUUAUCAUUUUCACCAAACAGGGACUGAAUCUCCGCACCAUUCCACCAUUGAAGUGAGAUUUUCCAACUGCCAGGGCUGUCUGCUCUUCCUGAAGGAUGUUGGAGAGAGAAGAACAGGAGGAAGCUCUAUAUUUUUCCAGUGCCAGACAAGGAGAUAUCAUUGCCUGCAUUGGAUGGAUUAGGGGAACAUUUCUUCUGCAGACAGAACCCUUAUAGAACCCAUUAUGGGCGUGUUUAUAUCUGUUCCUGGGAAGAUCUAACAUCUGCAACUUCCCUGGAUGGGCCAUCAAGCCUGGUGUGGCUGCUCCUGUUUCCCUGCAGUUCUUCCAAUAAAACUUGUCCAGGUCCAUUAACAGAAGCUGUAGAGUCAGGUGUGGGUCUGCUUUCCAGUGACAGGUCUGAGAAAGUGUAUCAUUUAAAAGGUAAAUAGUUUCCCCACAAACAGAGCCCAGCAGCAAAGGAGUUUAAUUCAUGGUAUAUAUCCUAACUCCAAAGGCUUGUCAAAUGCUGAGCUGUUAUCUCAGAGGAGGAGAUUACAACCACACACCUCAGCCUGAAUUGUAGCCAGAUUCAUCUGCUGGUGCAUUCCUGUUUUCACUGGGACUGACCAAGGAGGGCUGAUAGAUGAUGUCAUUCUGAUGAGUGAAAUCCUGACAUUUUAGAAAAUAGUGGGAGUUUUUGCCACUGGGUUUGCAAUGUAAUCAAAAUGCCAGCAUCUUGUGGGUCUGGGGCUACCACAAGAGGAAAUUUAACCAAAAUGUUUUGAAGAAUGCUCAGGCUCAUCUGGAUUUGAAUAUUGACUCUUCCUCCAUGAAAUCUGGUUGUGCUUAUUUAGCCCUUGUGCAGGGCUAAAUGUCUGCUCAUUGCCAUUUUUAGCAGGAGAGUUCUGCAAAGCUCAAAUCAUACUUCCAGGCAAAAAACCUAGGCUUUUCUAGUUCAAGAUAUCAGAAGACUUGGGUCACCAGGCUAUACAGGAAAGAGCAGACCAUCCCAUUUUUUUUUUCCUACUGGUACAUCUUGAAGAAGAAGUAAUAAUAAUAAUAUUAAUAAGUGAUGAUGAUGAAGAAGAAGAAGAAAAGGAAGAAGAACAACAAGAACAAGAACCACAAUAGGAGCUGUUCAGAACAAACAUCCAAACAGCAUAUUUUUCCCUUGCAGCAAGCCUUGAAAAUAAAAGGUUGCAAAACCCUUGGUACCUCCUGCUG